GGGGCGCUGCCGUGGGACAGAGGUGUCAGAACCCUGCCUCGUGUGGGCAGGGGGACCCAGCGGGCAGUGGAGACUCCUUCCGCGAGAGGGCGCAGCCCACUCGGCGCCCCGCCGCGCAGCUCCCCCAGCCCAGCUCUUGGACCCAGCUUUUCUGCCCCAAGGGUGCGGCGAUUUCAAAACUUCGGGCUUCAGCGCCAGUUCUUGAAGGCUUGGCGCUGUGAUUUCCCAGAGGGUGAAAUUGCGGCGUUGAGGGAGGUCAGGGAAGCACGAUGACCGUGGAAAUGGGGCAGGUCGCUAGAGAGCUGGGGCUGAAGAGGAGGCUGAAGUUGUCAGUGGGGCAGAGUCAGACAAGGACCAAGAGGCCCCACUGGACUUGGGAACCAGUAGCACAGCGGACCAAAGCGUGGACUUAGAGGCAGACUGCCCAGUUUGAAGUGCAGCUCCACCAGAGUGAGCAGAGCUCAGAAGCUGAGAAGAUAAACUGCCUCAAAUAAAGGAAGUAAGCAAGAGAUGGCAGUAGUUUAUUUCCAGGGAAGGGGGCCAACUAUGCAUCCACCGUGAAGAGAGCUCUGUGACAAAUGAGGACUGUCAUGCAGCCACACGUGGUUGGUCUUCAGGUCCCAGGCAACCAGCCAGUGGGAGAGUCCAUGAAGAGCAAGGAGAAAUUUGCUCUGCCUGUUGGGCGAAUACAGAUUUAAGUGGCAUUUGACUGGGCUUCUUGGUCAGGGAGAAGAUCUCUAACAGCAGAAAAUUUAGGAAGCUCAGUUAUCUUAACUAGACUGCUUAACAGUUACCUGAUGUUCAAACCGUUCAGUCAAAAUAAAUGCAUCCUCUUUAGCACUAUGAGUCUUUGAUGAUUUUCUUUCUUUCUCUCCUUUUUUAAAAAAAAUAUUUUAUUUAUUCAUUUUUUAGAGAGAGGGGAAGGGAGGGAGAAAAAGAGGGACAGAAACAUGGAUGUGAGAGAGAAACAUUGGUCUUUGCCUCUUACACUCCCCAACAGGUAGAUAAGACCUGCAACCCAGGCAUGU